rnacentral:rRNA from 1 species
GACGAACGCUGGCGGCGUGCCUAAUACAUGCAAGUAGAACGCUGAAGAGAGGAGCUUACUCUUCUUGGAUGAGUUGCGAACGGGUGAGUAACGCGUAGGUAACCUGCCUUGUAGCGGGGGAUAACUAUUGGAAACGAUAGCUAAUACCGCAUAACAAUGGAUGACUCAUGUCAUUUAUUUGAAAGGGGCAAUUGCUCCACUACAAGAUGGACCUGCGUUGUAUUAGCUAGUAGGUGAGGUAAUGGCUCACCUAGGCGACGAUACAUAGCCGACCUGAGAGGGUGAUCGGCCACACUGGGACUGAGACACGGCCCAGACUCCUACGGGGGGCAGCAGUAGGGAAUCUUCGGCAAUGGGGGCAACCCUGACCGAGCAACGCCGCGUGAGUGAAGAAGGGUUUCGGAUCGUAAAGCUCUGUUGUAAGUCAAGAACGGGUGUGAGAGUGGAAAGUUCACACUGUGACGGUAGCUUACCAGAAAGGGACGGCUAACUACGUG